UACGUAGGGUGCGAGCGUUAAUCGGAAUUACUGGGCGUAAAGCGUGCGCAGGCGGUUUUGUAAGCCAGAUGUGAAAGCCCCGGGCUUAACCUGGGAAUGGCAUUUGGGACUGCAAGGCUUGAGUGCGGCAGAGGAGACUGGAAUUCCUGGCGUAGCAGUGAAAUGCGUAGAUAUCAGGAGGAAUACCGAUGGCGAAGGCAGGUCUCUGGGCUGACACUGACGCUCAUGCACGAAAGCGUGGGGAGCAAACAGG
rnacentral:rRNA from 1 species